GGCUCGUUGGUCUAGGGGUAUGAUUCUUGCUUAAGAUGCAACAGGUCCUGGGUUCAAAUCCCGGACGAGCCC
rnacentral:tRNA from 2 species